GCCUCAAUGUCUUCCUCGACUACGCAUCCUAGGCUUGAAGGUCGCUCUCUUCAGACACAGUUAGACAAAACGUCGAACGAUGCUUCAACGCAUAAACGCACGUCAAAGGUAAACUAUGUAUACCUUUGUAUACGUAUAUAUAUAUAUAUAUAUAUAUUCGAAUUGAAGAUGAGACGGAAAGGUACAUGCUACAUCUAGGCAUACCCAUUUGCCUCUUAUGAAUGCCAAUAUAUAUAUAUAUAUAUAUAUAUAUAUGCUAGGGGUAACAAGAGGAAUAUGUAAAUAUAUAUGCAGGUUGAGAAUGGUGGAACAAAUACACAUGUUAAGAAUGCCGAGAUGGGUAAAUCUUUCUACGUAAAUUUGUAUGUGUACCUGCUACGAGUGUAUAUAUAUAUAUAUGGCAAAAACAGGAUUGUUUGAGUUUACCUGCAGAAAUUCGUUCAUUCCCUUUGAGUUUUAGCAUCUCUCUGAGGAGUUCCAAACCGUCUGCGCCCAUGACAAGGCCAAACUGGAAGAGCAGAUCUGCUGCCUCCUGACAGGAGGACAUGCCUCCCGGUUGAGUGGAAGGUGCAGAAAGAUGCCUCGGGUGUAUGGGCCUCGGAAAAUGUGUAGUUUCGUUUUUUUCACAGUUUCUCGCCUCCUUCCCUAGAGACUCUGUCCCUGUAACUUCCGGUUCAGUUGUUUUCUCCUGUGAAGCCGACGCUUCCAGACGGACAGUUCUGCUCUCUCCGCGGGUGGGGCUCUUUUCUCUCUGCUUCAAGAGGUCUCCGUUCUCAAGCCAAGGUUCCUCUUGUUUCUUUGUCGGAUUUUCGGAGCUCUGUGCCUCCCCACGUUCCACCCUCUUGUGGGUUCUGCGGGCGACAACACCGUCAUCCCGGUGUUUCGCUGCCUGCUUUGCGUUUCCAUCCGUCUCGCCAUCCUUCGAGGCCAUGCAUUCGUCCACCGUUUCGGCAAAAUAAGAAGCUUCUUCUUUCUCGCGCUCCUCUUCGUCUUCUUCGGUUUCACGUUUUUCCUCCUCUCUGUGGAAGUAAUCGAUGACUUUGUCCCAGUCCGCAGGUGGCCACAGUGGGAGCAUUCGAACCCACAUUUCGGCUUCUUUCAGCAGCGCCGCGGUCUCGACAGAUUCAGUGCCUUCUGUUGGAGUCACUUCCUCCUGUGGGUCUCUUGAACUUCGCGAGAGAAGGCUGCUGCCCUGGAGUCCUGUUUGUUCACUAGGAAAAAACAGAGACUCAGCCAACAUGCGCCUGUCAGAACUUUCCUCGGGGGGUGGCAGACGCGGCGCCCUUGCCAUGUGCUGUGCGUACGCGGGGGAGGAGAAAACUGCCAUUUCAGGUGCAUCUGGGUCCCUUCGAAUGCGUUCUGCUUCUCUGCGUUGAAUUGCAAAGGUAGGCGCUGAGCGUCUUCUCUCCCUCCCUCUGUGGGGCACUGCUCCGUCGACGCCUUCGUCGUUCCGGUAUCUUGUCUCUUCCUCGUCACUCUGUCGCGCGUACUCCCUUUGUACUGAGUAGCCCGUCCGAUCCGCUUCUGCCUCUUGGCUGCCUUCUCUCCUGUCUCUUUCCCUGGCUCGUCUUUUCCUCUCCUGCGGUUCUUCUGUGUCCUCCCCGUCGUCGGCACUCUGACUUUUUCGCUGGGGUAGAGUCGUCUUGCACGGAGCUGAAACGCGGUCGCGCAAACCUAAGCUCGAGGACGCAGAAGAAUCAAGAGACGAGGAACUCGAUCUUUCGUUUGCCACUGAGGCACGCGUGGUGAAGACUUCGGGACGGGCCAAAGUCGAAACGGACGGUCUUUUCGUCUGCUUUACUCGUGUCUGGGUUGCUGCCUGUGCAGCGAGGGUCUGUGCCCGGUGCUUUGCUUGAGAAUCAUGGCCACCUCUCUCAACGAACGACGGUGGAAUGUCAGAAACCCCCGAGUAGAGAGGCGGGGAUCGGGUGACGGGGAAAUGCUCGACUCUCAAGCGAGGGAAAAACGGGUUUUGUCUUGAAAAAGGCCGGUGCUCUGCGGAAGGAUCAGCUGGAACUGGCAAACCGCACAUUUCCGCCCAUGUCCGUGCGUCCACUGGGGUGCCAAGGAGACGGAAAAUCUGCAAAAAGCGACAGACGAAGAAACCGAUACACCGACAUGGGAGAGCGGAAGCGAGCAGACGGCACAAAAGCACAUUCCGUUUCUCCGUCGUUUCCUUUUCCCCCCAUCCACCGGUGGUCCAAUGAAAAAUGAAAUGGAAACGUAAAUACGACGCAGGGCGACAAAGAAGAAACGAAGACGGAUGGAGUGCAAAGUUCGAUCAAGCGCUUAUGCAUUCAUGCAUGAAUAUAGGUCUACAAACAUAUACACAGGUAAAAAUCGUAGAUCUAUACAUGGAUUUGCAUACAUCUCGGCCAGAUCGUGCAUGAGAGUCUGACGAUCACGAGGGCUCUGAAAAGUGGGAAUGUCGAACGGGAUAAAGGAGCGAGAACGAAUCGCGUUGCUGACAGCUUUAGGCACAGAACGUCGGGGCCGGAAAGCAGGAGCACGUGUAGGGAGGACGCAGAUGGAAGCAUCUCAUCUUUUUAUCUCAGUAGAGAGGCUUGGACGGUACCUUUCUGUUUCCACGAUCUACGUCUGAAAACCGAGUCGCUAUAUACAGAACACCAUACGAGGCAUUUCUACAAAUAUACAUGUAUAUAUAUAUAUAUAUAUAUGUAUAUGUGGGUACUUCCAUGUCUGCGAACACGACCAAAUACAAAAGGUUGAACAGAUGUGUGCAGAACGCGUUGUCGUCAUAUAUGCUGACUUGCAACAGAUAGAUCAUCUCUGAGUCUGCUCGAAAGGGGGGUCGAAGAAGCGCGAGCUCCAUGAAGAUGAUUGCGACAGACCAAAUGUCAACUCCGAAAGAAUACAUGGGUGCAGAAUCGACUGUGCCGUCGCCGCGCAUGAGUAGGAGCUCUGGAGCGCGAUAAAAGAGGCGCCUGCUCUCGCGAUACGACCGCUCUCUGUCUUUAGGAUCUGAGAGCGUGAGAACGGCAAAACUCCAGCGCUGAAAAGGUCCGUUUUCACGUUGGCACAUUUGUGCAUUCGGACCUGGAAAAGUUUAUACUUUUGAUGCCAUCUUCCCGAGUACACAUCCCUGUUCUGUGAAACGCAUUCCGUUCUCGCCUUCACGACGAUUGAGAAACCGUGUAAAGUAUAUCUGAAGGAGAAGCAUGAGACCGACGUCCGUACCAAGGCGACUACAUGGUGAAUAGGAGUAAACUUGUGGCGGUCAUAAACCUGAUUCUGUUCUUAGAGAAAACGUGGAAGGCUGAACAGUGGAUCAGAAUUGUGUACCGUGACGCGACUUCUGUGGAAACGGAACACGGCUGCUGGCGGUCAAGGAGUUUAUACCUGGAGUUUUCCCGGUCAUCGAUUCCUUGUUUUGUCGGAGAAAUCUGGUAAAACCAUACCUACUGUACGCAUCGACUCUGGUUCACCACCGUAGAUGCCCCCAGAGCUCUGGUUGCGUGCUCUUGUUGCGCAGAGGGCCUCUAUAUGUUUCCACCUUGAACUCUAACUGUCGAGACUGUGUGGGCAGAAGAUUUCUAAAGAAUAAUCAUUUGAAGCAUUUGAACUGACAGAGUGUGGAUGAGAACCGCAGGCGUUGAAGAGUUCCCCUUCUUACAGACCUCAGUGUUCCUCUAUAGUGCUAAGAAAGGCGAGUGCGGUUUCCGCGGUUGAUACAGUUUCUCUUCCUUUUUGCUGUUUCGCUGGUUGUGUGUACCCUAUUUUAUCGCUCACUUUCGGGCGUGUACGCGCCUCUUGUUUCCUGCAGCAGUCUGCUGAAUCCGAAGUCACUCAGUUCAACGUCAACAUUCGGAAGAAUCUCGUCCAUCUCGUCUCCACUUGCUGCUUCUGACGCAGGACAUUGGGACACUCGUCAAGUUUUACUUCUACCGUCUGUAUCGGGUGCGGAUGUCUGUUUCCGUCUGAUCGCCUCGUUUCCCUUCUUUGCACUCCUCUACUGUCAACGGUAUCGGUCACUAACAUGCCCCCCAGUACAUUUUUUGACUACAGCUUCUAGAUGAUUGAUUGGAAAUUUUUAUGCUUUUCUCUUGUUCAGCCCAAGUCUUACAACGUACACAGACAGACACGCUAAACUGGACCCGCUGCGUCUCUGUGUUUUACCGCAAAUUUCCUUUACGUUCUCUUCCGGGUUGCCGCGCCACUUUCAGCGGCAAGACACGCAGUCGUCGAAUCUCUUUCUGUUUGUCUUCGUCUAGUUUCAUUUCUCAACUGUUUACGCCAUACCUCUUUCCUCAGGUGAACAAGGAACCGAAACGGCAACACGCUUGUGUCUCGCGAUCUUGCGAAUCGUCCGUUCUUUGGCCCCGUUUCCGUCACGGAUGAACGUCUGCACUAGGCGGGGUGUAGAUGAUGUCUCUGGCGCUGUGAGUGGUUCUGAGGUUUUGGAAAUUGGCCAAUCUGUGCGCGAAGAAAAUCUUGAUCUCAUGCCUUCCCGAGUAACUGUGGCCGCAGGCUCAGGGCCUUCUUUGCCUCCAGUGCAAGGACGAAUGAGGAUAUUUUCCGGCUUCAAGUUGCGGUGGAGAAUGCCGUGGCUGUGCAGACGAGAGAGACCGCGUAAGAGCUUCUGGAGAAUGCGCCAGACAAAUUCGCGGUGUAUUUCUUUCGCGUGAAAGGCAGGACGGCGGCUUAGGGAACGCUGGCCAGAGAGGCUGGAGGCGGAUAGGGAGCGACGAUUCUGUGAGCCGGUCAUCCGGUAUGUGGAAACAUCAAACGUUUCCUCUCUUGACAGCGGUGAAGGAGUUGCUGUGUGGGAGCGGAGAGUUAAGAAGCCGGUCGUUUUUAAGCCCUAGAGUAAACAGUACGGAAACAGGUUCGAGACACAGCAACUACACGGUGAGUGUCGACCUUGAUGAAUGGGCGGGUGUAGUCUCUGAAACACCAAGAGCGGGAUCUUGCAUUGUAGAGCCGGGGGUGCAAUGAUACACAAAAAAAUAAUAUGACAAUUUGAGAAACAACUUCUCGAACACAGGGGAAGCGGGGGCAAGUAGACAGCCAAAGCCGUAGUUGAAUUUGUGGAUUGCGGAAAGUGGAUACGCACCUCCCAGAAUGUCCGCAGGUUGCUCUCACAGAAAUCAGUAAUCAUGUAGAGCGUACUGCCCUCGAUUUGACAGCCGAAAAACUCAACAAUGUUCAUCGAUUCAUGGGCAUCUCUUGCACGUCGUCGAAUCAACGCGGAGACAUCCCCAAGCUGCGUCGUUUGUCCAGCAGUUUCCAUCCCAGGAUCUCCCGAAUUGUCGUGAAGAGGCCCGUAGGGAAAUUCGGCUUGGUCGUGAUCGACGUUCCAUUCCGAACGGGGUCGCCGCUCUCGCGGAGGAAGCGAAGACCGGGAAGGAAGCCAGACGGGGCAGGUAGAAGGAAGCGUGGGAGGCACGGCGGUAAGGGCUAUAGACGAAGAACAGCGGUAGGCGCUUCGGGUGAUCUCGUGCUGCCUUUUUCUUUCCAAUUCCUCUCGAUCCUGUCGGCGCCUCACAUGAAUUAGCUGAAGGCGAAGUUCUUGCAGAAGAGAUGCUUCUCGGAGUAUCGACGCUGGAACACCAUCGUCAACUUCUGCAUUUGCGCUCGCGAGGUUGACACUUCGAACAGCCACGCGUGUAAACAGAGGAGAUUGUUCCGGGUCUCGCGAGCGGCUACACCAAGGACAGGAGGCCGCUAAAGAAGGAAUCGAGAAAGAACCAAUAGAAGGUGAACCAUAACAAGAAGGGGCUAUUGGAGAUUGCGGAAUACAGGACACUAAGCGGCAAGUUCCUGAAGAUUGAGAGGUCGCACAUACAGCAGGGUGUCCGCUUUCAGUACGACUGGUUCUUGCAGUACGUGACACAGUGGAUCCGCUGAACGGAUGAUCCUCCGCCUUCAAAGGCCGACACUGUACGCCGCCUCUGGGACUUUUGCUGGCAGAAACAGCAGAAGAACAGACAGCCGGCGUAGGCGUACAAGAAGUGGAUAUCGAGUGUUCUGCAUGUUCUGCAUGCAAACCUCGCCAUGUAUCAUUCACAGAAUCUACCCCAAUUCUGUUUCCGGAAAUUGAAGAUGCGGAUGUGGGAGAAAGAGAGCUGCAUGGGUAAACAUGUACCUCAUUGUGCACGUGACGGGAGCCAUCAUCCGCAGGCUUUGUCUCAACAACGGAGCGGCAGAAAGAAUCCGGUCUAUUAUCAGUGUGGUGAAGUUGUCCUUCCGUUGUCCUUAGCGAUGCGGUCCUUACUGCCUUGAGAACGGCCACGGGGGUCCGCGCAAUCCGCACUUUCCCCUUGGAUCUUCUUUCACUGAUAAUCCCACGUGGUUCAAAGCGUAGACACGCCAGUAAACCCUCGCGUUCUAGCACCGUCGCCCAGUGCGGUGAAGACAAGAUUUCGCGGCGCAUUGCUUUGCACGUAACUGUGAGUGCCGCGUAGGCAACUGAAGCUCCCAGAGUCUCAAGAAGCAAACCACAGAUUGAGAGAAGGGAACAAGUUCCACAGAGAGAUGGUGCAGAUGACCGGCAACUUGAGAAAUGUCUGAUCCGGUUGUUUUCAGUAGGCUCGUCUGCAGGAGAAUGUGUGUAGCAGACCAAAGGUGCCGAGCAUUUAUUUUUACCGGUAUCUUCCUCGCAGCAGCGACAUCGUGUCGUUACCACACCUGUUUCUGCACAGAGCUGCCUUAGGCAGCCUUUGGGAUUUCCAGUGAAUCUCUCCAUGGAAGAUGCAGUGGAUGUGUUUCCGGUGGUACAGAACGUGUCCUUAAUCGUCGUUCCAUUUGCGUCGUGCUGUCGCGGCAACGGGAUGGACGCUGAGAUUUCCCCACGCGAAAACCCCGCGUUCACAUUUGAGCACGCAUCGGCGUGCCUUACAAGCCGCCCGCGUGGUUCCUGCAUCUCACGAGCAGAAGUUGCAGAUGCCGGAUAGUUCGAAUACUUGCCGCAUGUAAACGUCUGUGCACGCCGGGGUUUCCGCUGGUGCUCUGUCGGUUUCUCAGGAAGGUAAGCAAACGCAGCCCUUGUACGGACCCUCACGGAUGUGUUCCCCUGUUUCCUCAGAGCAGGGAGUUCGACCAAUUUGAAGAUUGGCUUUCAUGGGAACGGUGUCUAUCCACAAAAUACUGCGGUAACGAGACACAGGAAGUCCCUGUUAUAGAAAAUGUCUUAUACUGCCACACCUUGGGUCUCCGGUCAUGAAUUUCACCUGACGGUUGGGUUCGCUGAGACGUUAUGGAUUCAAGCUUGAGUGACAACCGUUAGCUGCGCGCAUAUCCGAGGGGAAAUUCUGGCCGGAUAGACAUUCUACGCGUGUAAUCGGAGAAUAAAUUUUCGGACGUGAGGGGAAGUUUAACUGCAGUAUAUAUGUUUCGGGAAUGUGCAUGUAUGUUUGUGACGUGGCUUUCGCUGGCAAUCGCCACCAACCAAACACAACUUCUAUUGGAUAUUUCGACACGUACAGUCGGUAAUGCAGAAUUUAUUAAUCUACGUGACACGCGUAGAGGGAUCGGUGAAUCUGUUCGAAACCAAAUAUACGGUUUCAGGGUUUGAUUUUUUGAUGGAAGUUUGUGGACGGGCGCAAUGAUGGAACGUUGACCCGUCUCGAUCGCAAGUAAGGCCAGUGUCCUUGUUUCCAAGACCAGUCCAGGCCUAGAUGGAUGACUUCAUGGGGAAUUCAGUCACGUGUAAAAAAGCCAAAGGAAAAGCGCACAGAUUCCGCCGUUUUUAUGCUUCUCCUCCCGGGCAAGAAAAUGAAAGAUGGGGAGGAGCAGCGAAAGGGAAAUCACUGCAUUACAUGCGCUGUCCUCUCCGCUUUUCGGGGGAGCUUGUUGAAGGCACCUUUGACUAAAUAAAAAGCAUCAACCGGUACAUGGGCCCUUGCAAAGGAGGAGAAAUUAAUAAGAAAUCGAUACGAAUUUCCUGAGGCGACAGACAGAACCCAUGUGGGCCACAACCACCCAUGUGCAGUUGCCUCGCCUGUCGACAACCAACGAAAAAAAGAGUGUGUUGAUGAGUCUUCUGCCCGUGGAUAAGAAACGUUAAAAAAUUUAGCCCUCUCUCGGAACACAAAAACAAGGCGUUUGGCCAUGAAUAGGGAAACGCAGAUGAGGAUGGAAUGCUUAUCCUUUCGGGCGAGCAUGUGGAAAGCGCUCAACAUCUACAGCCUUCUUCUAAAAGUGCCUUUCAGGGGGUCUUUUAUUCGAUACUUGUGACAUCUUGAGCCCAUUUCUUUUACAAGAAAGGCUUCAGACAGCGGAGAGCACGCACUGCCAUCAAAAGGAAAUCGGCACCUAAAAAAAGCCGGAACGACGCAGCGAGUGCGUGCCCUCUGUUGCCACAACAAGGUAAAUUCAGUUGUUCAUGCCGACUGAGAAAUGCAAUGUUUUUUUCGCAUUUCGUGACGAAAAAUCGAUUGUAUGAGAGCCGAGAGGACUUGUAUUCACAGACGAAUCCGGCCAAAAGCCCACCUAUGCGCCUUCCGCGUGUGACAGCACAACGCAGCAAUGCGUGACGCCACUUAUUUCCCCAAGCCUGAUUUGAUGAAUAUUUGUACAUCUCUGACAUGCAAGAAGAAGAGCUUAGAUUAGAGUUUUUGUUGCCGAUCUUAUAUUCAAAUUCUGUUUGUGUGUGAUGUAGUUUCACUGUACGAUCCCUCGCGUGAGGCCACUUCUGUUGCUUAAUAGUUGGCCUACUUCGUCCAGAAUAGAUACAAAACCUAUCUGGCACUGGUUUUCGACAUGAGUCCAGCAUGCAUACACAAGUGUGAUAUUUCCGUGGGAAGUCAGGGUGUAUCUUUCAGGACAGACGUUUUUCGGUACGGCUGCAGAAAUUGUGGGCUUCCCCGCAAGGCCGAAUAGAUAAUCUGCGACUCAAGGUCUUUUUCGCGGGGUACUCACUACCGAAAGGGACUAUUCAACUUUGUUUUCAUCAUAUCUCGUUCCUUUUUUAGAGUGUAACUAGAGAAUACGUCGACGGCGGCCAUAUUUCGUGACAUAAACGGUCCAAACGGUCCA
rnacentral:lncRNA from 1 species